rnacentral:lncRNA from 1 species
GAAACUUAUAGACACCAUUAUUUGUAUAUUAACUACUAAUCCAAUGGGAAUUAUAUCUUUGAUGGUAAAGUUCUUAAGUAAAAAAGUUUUUCUUUAGUUACCCUCAUUCUUUAUGGAAUAAAGUCCUUACAUCUUAGCCUAACAUUCAGGACCUGCUUUUAUUUGCCUGCAACUUAUUUUUCCAGUUGCUCUCCUACUAUUAUUCUUAUUGAGGUCUGCAUUCCAGCCAAACUAAACUAUUCAUUGUUCUUUUUCUCAUUUUCAGAUUUCUUUCUCUUGGUCUUUUCUUUGCUUAGGCUGCCACCAUCUUAAUUCUUUUUUAAAAAAAUAUUUACUUUUUAGUUUUAGGUGGACACAAUAUCUUUAUUUUACAUUUACCUGGUGCUGGGGAUUGAAUUUCAGUGCCUCAUGCAUGCUAGGUGAGUGCUCUACCACUGAGCCACAACCCCAACCCCACUAUCUUAGUUCUUACAUGGUCUGAAAUCUCCACCUAAAAUCAUUAUUAUUUCCAGGCUGUCUUCUCUGAUAUACUUCCUUCCAAUAACAUUUAAUGGUCCCUUAACACUUCCUAUGUUAGGCAUGUUUAAACAUUUUCUAGUGUUAAGACUAAUAUACUUGUUUUCUGCUAGAUAUAUUACCAUUCUUCUCUGUAAAACUUACAGUAUCUAAUAUGGUUACUUACAUGUAGUAAAUACUGAUCAAUAACUGAUCAAAUAAUGAGAUAAAUAUUGAAUUCUUAAAUUUCAAUAAGGUAUUA